AGAGUUUGAUCCUGGCUCAGGACGAACGCUGGCGGUGUGCUUAACACAUGCAAGUCGAACGGUAAGGCCCUUUUUUGGGGUACACGAGUGGCGAACGGGUGAGUAACACGUGAGUAACCUGCCCUCAUCUCUGGGAUAACAGUCGGAAACGGUUGCUAAUACUGGAUAUGAGCUUGCAAGGCAUCUUGUGGGUUGGAAAGAUAUUUUUGGUUGGGGAUGGACUCGCGGCCUAUCAGCUUGUUGGUGAGGUAGUGGCUCACCAAGGCUUCGACGGGUAGCCGGCCUGAGAGGGCGACCGGCCACAUUGGGACUGAGAUACGGCCCAAACUCCUACGGGAGGCAGCAGUGGGGAAUAUUGCACAAUGGACGGAAGUCUGAUGCAGCAACGCCGCGUGCGGGAUGACGGCCUUCGGGUUGUAAACCGCUUUCAAUUGUGACGAAGCUUUUUUGUGACGGUAGCAGUAGAAGAAGCACCGGCUAACUACGUGCCAGCAGCCGCGGUGAUACGUAGGGUGCGAGCGUUGUCCGGAUUUAUUGGGCGUAAAGAGCUUGUAGGCGGUUUGUCGCGUCGGGAGUGAAAACUUGGGGCUUAACCCUGAGCUUGCUUUCGAUACGGGCUGACUUGAGGGAGGUAGGGGAGAAUGGAAUUCCUGGUGGAGCGGUGGAAUGCGCAGAUAUCAGGAGGAACACCGGUGGCGAAGGCGGUUCUCUGGACCUUUCCUGACGCUGAGAAGCGAAAGCGUGGGGAGCGAACAGGCUUAGAUACCCUGGUAGUCCACGCCGUAAACGGUGGGUACUAGGUGUGGGGGACAUUCCACGUUCUCCGUGCCGUAGCUAACGCAUUAAGUACCCCGCCUGGGGAGUACGGCCGCAAGGCUAAAACUCAAAGGAAUUGACGGGGGCCCGCACAAGCGGCGGAGCAUGCGGAUUAAUUCGAUGCAACGCGAAGAACCUUACCUGGGUUUGACAUAUGCCGGGAGCGUUCAGAGAUGGGCGUGCCUUUUUGGUCGGUUUACAGGUGGUGCAUGGCUGUCGUCAGCUCGUGUCGUGAGAUGUUGGGUUAAGUCCC
rnacentral:rRNA from 1 species